rnacentral:rRNA from 1 species
AUUGAAUGCUGGCGGCAGGCCUAACACAUGCAAGUCGAACGGUAGCACAGAGAGCUUGCUCUCGGGUGACGAGUGGCGGACGGAUGAGUAAUGUCUGGGAAACUGCCCGAUGGAGGGGGAUAACUACUGGAAACGGUAGCUAAUACCGCAUAACGUCGCAAGACCAAAGUGGGGGACCUUCGGGCCUCACACCAUCGGAUGUGCCCAGAUGGGAUUAGCUAGUAGGUGGGGUAAUGGCUCACCUAGGCGACGAUCCCUAGCUGGUCUGAGAGGAGGACCAGCCACACUGGAAAUGGGACACGGUCCAGACCCCUACGGGGGGCAGCAGUGGGGAAUAUUGCACAAUGGGCGCAAGCCUGAUGCAGCCAUGCCGCGUGUAUGAAGAAGGCCUCCGGGUUGUAAACCUCUUUCAGUAGGGACGAAGCCACUCGGGUGAAUAGCCCGGAGGGUGACGGUACCUACAGAAGAAGCCCCGGCUAACUACGUGCCAGCAGCCGCCGUAA